rnacentral:rRNA from 1 species
GCAAGUCGAACGGCAGCAGGCCAUGUAGCAAUAUAUGGUGCUGGCGAGUGGCGAACUGGUGAGUAACACGUAAGAAUCUACCCUGAGGUGGGGGAUAACUCAUGGAAACAUGAGCUAAUACCGCAUAAUGCGAAGCUUAUAGCGAUAUAAGUUUUGUUAAAGGAGAAAUCCGCCACAGGAUGAGCUUGCGUCCCAUUAGCUAGUUGGCGGGGUAAAUGCCCACCAAGGCUAUGAUGGGUAGCUGGCCUGAGAGGGUGGUCAGCCACACUGGGACUGAGAUACGGCCCAGACUCCUACGGGAGGCAGCAGUCGAGAAUAGUCUACAAUGGUCGGAAGACUGAUAGUGCGACGCCGCGUGAACGAUGAAUCCCUUCGGGGUGUAAAGUUCUUUUAUAUGUGAGCAGUGCUUCUUAUAUUAACAGUAUGGGGAGAGAGAUAUUAGCAUAUGAAUAAGCAACGGCUAACUCCGUG